UACAGAGGGGGCAAGCGUUAUUCGGAAUUAUUGGGCGUAAAGGGCGCGUAGGCGGCCUGACAAGUGGAAGGUGAAAUCCCUCGGCUUAACCGAGGAACUGCCCUCCAAACUGUUUGGCUUGAGACCGGGAGAGGUGAGUGGAAUUCCCAGUGUAGCGGUGAAAUGCGUAGAUAUUGGGAAGAACACCUGAGGCGAAGGCGGGUUGCUGGGCCGACACUGACGCUGAGGCGCGAAAGCCAGGGGAGCGAACGGGG
rnacentral:rRNA from 1 species